rnacentral:lncRNA from 1 species
GGCACCCCCAAACCGAGGGGGCCCCCCCUUAAAAUAUCGGGGUGCCUCCCCAUUGCACUGACCCCCCUUAAAGUGACAGUCGGCCCCGGCCAGGGGCCCCCCCAAAUCUGCCUGCACCUUCGCCUAGUCCUUCCCCCACCCCCAAAUUUGGGGGGCCCCCCCCCAAAAAAAGCUUUUGACUUUAAAAACACAUAAAAAAGGUGAGAAGGGAUUAAAAAAUUGGGGGGGUUCCGGGGAGCCCCCCCAAAUUUGGCAGCCUGGGGAAAGGGAGGGGCCCCCCCCAAAGAAGGGGAGAAUUGGGGGGUUCCCCCAUAAUUUUGGGGGUGACCCCCAAGUGCUGGGGGCACUGGAAAGCUGGAGGUCACCCCCCAAAUUUUGGGGGGGGCCCCCGAAAGCAAAGGGGGGGCUUUGGGGGUUCACCCAAGAGCUGGUUCUUGCUGGAAAGCUGGGGGGGGUCCCCCAAAGCUUGGGGGUGUCCCAAAGUCUUGGGGGUCCCCCAAAAGCCAGGAGGGUCCCCAAAAGCCAGAGGGUCCCCCGAAAGGCCCAGAGGGUCCCCCAAAAGGCAGGUGACACCUCAUGGGGGUCCCCCAAAAGCCAGAGGGUCCCCCGAAAGGCAGGUGACACCUCAUGGGGGUCCCCCAAAAGCCGGAGGGUUCCCCAAAAGGCAGGUGACACC